AGAGUUUGAUCCUGGCUCAGAUUGAACGCUGGCGGAAUGCUUUACACAUGCAAGUCGAACGGCAGCACGGGAGCUUGCUCCUGGCGGCGAGUGGCGAACGGGUGAGUAACACGUCGGAACGUAUCCAUUAAUGGGGGAUAACGCAGCGAAAGCUGUGCUAAUACCGCAUACGCCCCGAGGGGGAAAGCAGGGGAUCUUCGGACCUUGCGUUAUUGGAGCGGCCGACGUCUGAUUAGCUAGUUGGUGGGGUAAAGGCCUACCAAGGCGACGAUCAGUAGCUGGUCUGAGAGGAUGAUCAGCCACACUGGAACUGAGACACGGUCCAGACUCCUACGGGAGGCAGCAGUGGGGAAUUUUGGACAAUGGGCGCAAGCCUGAUCCAGCCAUUCCGCGUGAGUGAAGAAGGCCUUCGGGUUGUAAGGCUCUUUCGGCAGGGAAGAAACAGUUGAGGCCAAUACCCUUGACCAAUGACGGUACCUGAAGAAGAAGCACCGGCUAACUACGUGCCAGCAGCCGCGGUAAUACGUAGG
rnacentral:rRNA from 1 species